CAGUAGUGACGUCCUAUAAGCUCCGCCCCACCCAUGGGGCAGCUCCCCGCGGGAGCCAACUACGGAGCUGAAAGCUUCCCUUCUUCCGGCUCCCGCCCCAGCAACUGAGCCCGGGUACACGUGUGAUCACACUUAGGGUGCCGGGAAACGGCCUUAACUGGGCACAUGUAAGUGGCCCAGGAGACCCUUAGGGAAGCUUAGCGGAGGUCUCUCCAAGGCCUGACCUUCUUCUUCUCGGACAAGUCGUUCCACAUGCGGGCCAGCAGGCGGGUCAGCUCGCUUUCUGAGAGCUCAGGUCGUUCCUCCUGUAGCUGCCUUCGCUUCUCCUCUGAGAAGAUGAACAUGGCAGACACAGGCCGCUUGGGCUUCUCGGAGCCACCCUAAAAGGUCAAGAUAGCACUGGAAGGGACCAAGAGGCUCCAACCAAACCAGACGACUCCUUGUAAGACGCACCAGGAGCAAGCAAGGAGACAGCUCAUUUCCACCAUGCUACCCAAUGGAAACAAAAAACUGAGCACAGCCUCCUUAGGGCACUCUCAGUCUUCCUCAGACAGAACUAAAAAGGCGUCACCCUCCACACCUCAAUCGGUAGGGAAGAGACUUACCUGAAGGACUGGCAAUUGUAAGACAGGCCCAAAUCAGUGCACCCAUGCCUAAGCUUUCUCCACUCAAGGUUUUCUGUCCCUCCCCGGUUCUGCUUCUUAGCCUCUCCCUCCCAUCCCUCAGGAGUUUGGUGGUGUGUAUAGUCACUGUCCGGGUCCUCACCUAUGGGGUCAAAUGCAGCCCUGCCAGUUAAUGCUACUCGUGCUUGGGUAUGGGCCACAGACAGCUGUUUUUACCCAACCAAGCCUAUUCCACUUUGGAUUUAGCAAUAAGGGCAUAUAAGUGCUCAGCCAGAUAAUUCGUUCAACUUUGUGUCCUUUGCCCACCAAUGUGCAUCCUUUGUGCCCCGCUGCCCCUCACUGACACCCUGGUCUCAUCACCCAGCAUCUCCUCUGUGUUUGGCUUUCUCCCAUUCCAUUUCUUUCAUGUGUUGACUCUCCCUUCAGUAUUCUGUUUCAUGUCUUCCAGGGAACCCCCUGAGCUUGUCCUUGGGCUUUAUGUCCAUCUCUGCCCAGGAGGUUCAGACAACUUUUACCUAAAGGGCUACACACAUCCCUGAGAAUCUGGACAGUGAUCCAUUUCUGUAGGAGGAAGCAGCCCGAGGCAAGGACAUCCCGUGUACCCUUGUUCACGGGGAAAACAAGCUCAUUUAUGCGAUGCGAGGGGGGAGGGGAGAGCACUGGAGGGCGGCAGAAGUUCCAACCUCAAGUGUGCUCCAGCAUCCUUAUCGAGAAGACUCAAGAUACUCAGCACUCCUGUGCCCUGAUUCCUGGCUCAGGACAAUCAAUCAACCCCCUUUCCUGGGUCUCUUGUCUACUCAAGCAUCACAGCGGGUAGGAGAAUGGCUGCACAGAUUCACAGGGAGUAUGGCUAUUUGGCUGUGGGGUACAGGAGCAGUCUGAAUUGCCUUCGGGAUCCUCCCCUGCCACGGGUCCUAUCUGACCAUGUGUGGGCCAGGAGGGGACAGGUACCACGGUGACUUCCAAAACCACCACACUCUGUUGUGUUGACCCCUCCACACCCCUGACGAGGAGUCCCUUUGUCUCUCUAAGGCCUAUCCCCACCCCACUGACCUACCCACUCCAGCUGCUCCCACCUGGAAGUGUAACUACCCUCCCGCACCUGAACCCCACCUCCCCCCACCUUCUUCUUCUCUGGAAGUUCCUUGUAUUUCUUAGACAGGAUCUUAGUCAGGUCCAGGUUGCUCAUCUCUGGGUGGAGUUUCGCAUACUUGGCCCGCUUCUCCAUGAAGAAGCGGAAGUAAGGGGUUAGAGGCUUCUUUGGAAAAUCCGGGUGUUUCUGGAACAAAGGAAAGUGGGGUCAGAUGCCACCCGUUCUUUCAACCCCUCUUCCCUGACCCCUGACCCCUGUGCUUCUCCUCCUGGCAACUCACCUUGAGUUUUUUGCCUUUGUAAGGGUUUUUAACAUGUUCCUGAGCAUCGAGGAUCAGUUCUGUCAACGUACGGAACUUCCUUACCUGGAGGAAGGAAACGGGGAGAAAGGAAUUUGGGAAACAUCACUCCAUAGUACACUAUCCCUUUUCACAGUGUUACCGCCACCCUCCACCACACUGAGUUCAAUGAAGGAAACAAAGCAAAGAUGUAGAUUCCAGGCAACUUCUGACCAGAGGCACUAGAGCUCAUGCCCAAGGAGUUGGACCACACCUAAGAGCAGUCACCGAAUGAUUUCAGUAUAGCUUCCUUGCCUGAAUCUCAUUCAACCUCUAGAGCUGUUUAGGCAAUAGAAGUCCAAGACAGUAAGUAUCCAAGGCCACCUAGAAAGGUGAGCUCCAGGCUGUUGCUAUCGCCCAGGCCACUUCAUCCCGGAAAGCAUAAAUUAGAGCUGGCAGAAGAACACGUGAAUACCUUCUGUCCAAAGUGACAGGUUUGCUUUCCCCAUUUGCUCUGAGAUAAAAAGCAUAUGCAGAUGUGUAUUUACACGUGUCAAAAAGUGGGAAGCAGUUACCUCAUUAGAAAUCUCCACCCAUUUGAGCUUGCACAUAUCUCCUGAAAAAUCCUUAAAUGCCACUUUUUC